rnacentral:lncRNA from 1 species
AUUUAUGCCUGUCUCUAAUAAAAAUACAAAAUUAGCUUGGCGUGGUGGUGCACACCUGCAAUCCCAGCUACUCGGGAGGCUGAGACAGGAAAAUCACUUGAAUCUGGGAGGCAGAGGUUGCAGUAAGCCUGCAAGUUUCUUGUAUCAAUUCGAACCCCGAGAGUGCGCCAACAAACAACACGAGGCAAUGUGGAGCAACACGCUGUUUUCAUGAGCGCCUGGGUGCAGGCGCGCUGGGGUCUAAAAGGGCAUCAGCCCCAAGUGAGGACGGGACAUGGGUUUCAUAGUCCACUGUAAACAGGAAGUGUCCCAGUCUGACGUGACUGCUACGUAGUACCCGGACAGCCUCCCUCUGGAUCUUCAGGGGCCUUAUUGUACCGGCUAGAAACCUCAGUACGAUGUGGCAUAAUAGUGACUGAAUGGAAGUGUGAGUGAUCAAUACUACUGGGCUGUGGUGAAAGUCCUGAUACUCUACAAUGUUUCCUCUGACACCAUCCAAAAGAGGAAGACAUGAGAAGGGAACCUGAGAACACUGCUUAGGUAGCAAUCUGUAUUCCUCGCUGUGGUCACUGCUUUUCCAGAGGGGUAUGGGUUUGCCUGGCUAUUGCCUGGUAGGGAUGUAAGGUCUGGACUUAUAACUAUAUUUCUUUGAUACCACCUUAGUAAGAGUUCUGGGGUGUCUAAUUUUGGCCUGAAGAGCAUGAAAUCUUAAAUUUCCUACUAGGUCUGUUGUGGUAUGGGUACAAAUAGGGGGACUUAUAUUUUUUCUGAAAUAUUUGUCUGUAUAGUGCAAUUAUUGUCUAAAGGUUUUGUCUGUACCCUUUGGUAUUUCCAGUUGUCAGUUUCUUUGGCUCUAAAUUCAUGAUAUAGAAAGAAAAACAAACAAAAAGAAAAACAAGGAUCUCACUAUCCUGUAGUUCCUUGGGUCCAGAGGUCUCUAUUUAGUCCUGUUUUUUCUCUGCCUUUCAGAGUCUUCUUAUAAUUUUCAUAUGUAUUGCCUAAGGUUUUUAUUUGUACUUAGCAGAAAGAGUAGGGAAAAUACAACUACUGCAACUUUCUAGAAGUCUUAUAAAAUCUUUUUAAGCAUAAAAACCGUAAAGUCAUAUAUACUUGUGUGUCCAUUAAUCUAUAUUAUCUGUAUUUUGUACAUGUAUAGAGAGGUUUCUAACAAUAUUUGAAAAAUUUAACUAUAUCUGCUGUUUUAAGUACCAACUCGUUAUUUCAUCCACUCAAAGUUAAACUUUUAAUCAUGUAUGUGUUAUUCUGUUCUCUGUCAUCUGCAAAUUUGGUAUUUUCCAUAGAUUGAUUAAAAUUAUUGAUAAAAUGUUGAUAAAACAGAAGAUAGGACUCCAGAUAAAGCUAUGACAUACUGUAUUUUAUCAAUUACUUAUUUAUAUGUACAUCCAGCAACUGCUUUUUCAAUGUUUUUUCAUGACCAGUGAUUGUAUUAAUUAAUGGCCAUAAAAAUCUAAAAAGCAAACAAAAACACAAAAACAAAAAUACAAACAAACAAAAAAUGAAAACCACCUUCUAUUCCCCGAAGUUUAUACAUCUGGUAAGUGAAGUAGAGAGAUGCUCAUGCAUGC